AGUGGCGGACGGGUGAGUAACGCGUGAGAAUCUACCUUCAGGACGGGGACAACAGCUGGAAACGGCUGCUAAUACCCGAUAUGCCGAAAGGUGAAAAGUUAUUUCGCCUGGAGAGGAACUCGCGUCCGAUUAGCUAGUUGGUGGGGUAAAAGCUUACCAAGGCAACGAUCGGUAGCUGGUCUGAGAGGAUGAGCAGCCACACUGGAACUGAGACACGGUCCAGACUCCUACGGGAGGCAGCAGUGGGGAAUUUUCCGCAAUGGGCGAAAGCCUGACGGAGCAACGCCGCGUGGGGGAAGAAGGUUUUUGGAUUGUAAACCCCUUUUCUCAAGGAAGAACAAAAUGACGGUACUUGAGGAAUCAGCCUCGGCUAACUCCGUGCCAGCAGCCGCGGUAAUACGGAGGAGGCAAGCGUUAUCCGGAAUUAUUGGGCGUAAAGCGUUCGUAGGCGGCUGUUCAAGUCUGCUGUCAAAGACCGAGGCUCAACCUCGGGUCGGCAGUGGAAACUGGAUAGCUAGAGGUCGGUAGGGGCAGAGGGAAUUCCCAGUGUAGCGGUGAAAUGCGUAGAUAUUGGGAAGAACACCGGUGGCGAAAGCGCUCUGCUGGGCCGAACCUGACGCUGAGGGACGAAAGCUAGGGGAGCGAAUGGGAUUAGAUACCCC
rnacentral:rRNA from 1 species